GACGAACGCUGGCGGCGUGCCUAAUACAUGCAAGUUGAGCGCUGAAGGUUGGUACUUGUACCGACUGGAUGAGCAGCGAACGGGUGAGUAACGCGUGGGGAAUCUGCCUUUGAGCGGGGGACAACAUUUGGAAACGAAUGCUAAUACCGCAUAAAAACUUUAAACACAAGUUUUAAGUUUGAAAGAUGCAAUUGCAUCACUCAAAGAUGAUCCCGCGUUGUAUUAGCUAGUUGGUGAGGAAAAGGCUCACCAAGGCGAUGAUACAUAGCCGACCUGAGAGGGUGAUCGGCCACAUUGGGACUGAGACACGGCCCAAACUCCUACGGGAGGCAGCAGUAGGGAAUCUUCGGCAAUGGACGAAAGUCUGACCGAGCAACGCCGCGUGAGUGAAGAAGGUUUUCGGAUCGUAAAACUCUGUUGGUAGAGAAGAACGUUGGUGAGAGUGGAAAGCUCAUCAAGUGACGGUAACUACCCAGAAAGGGACGGCUAACUACGUG
rnacentral:rRNA from 1 species